GCCAUGUCACCUUGAAACACCGCUUCCUAUACAAUCAUCGUAGUUAAGCAACGUCGAGCCUGUACAGUACCUAGAUGGGUGACCGCUUUGGAAGACCAGAUUCUGCAA